ACAUCUGGCCUGUAUUGCCGGGUGAGACAUAGCAGCUUAGGAGGCCAGGACAUCCUCCUCUACUUGGAUCAUCAUCAAGUCUCCGUGGGCUUGAUCAUCUUGGCAGUGAUGGUGCCCCUGGUGCUUCUGACAGCUCUUGCAUUUUGGCUUAGGAAGCGCUGGUCACACUGUGAGCCUCCUGCCAUUCUUCUUCCUUUGGAAUGAGAUUACAGCAGCCCUGGGGUUCCAGACAUAUUUAAACGCAGCAUGGCGAUAAUGUCCGCUCAGCUCUCCACGUACAACUUUGGUUGCUUACAUGUUAUUUGUGUGUUUAACAGUUAGUUAUUAAUAUAAGCUAAAGGUAAUUUUGCAGGACUUGCUUUCUGACCUGUUCAGAGAUAAAAAGUCUAAUUUUAAUCUGGAUAAAAUGAGAUCCUAGCAACCGCUACAUAUUGAAAAAUUGAUGAACCUCAGGCCCAUUUCAGAUGUCACCUCUUUCUGGGGGCCUUCCCUGAUUCACAAGUGGAAGCAGCGUCUGAACUCCCACCACGCUUUUCAGUGGACUUUGCUGAAUCUACUUCUCACUUUUUAUCCGUUGUUGCAGUCAUGUAGGCCCCUUUUCACCUUCUGAUUCUUAAGCCUGAGAGCAAAGUCUAUGUCUUUUUAAAAUUCGUAUCAUUUACAAAGUGUAUAACUGUAUGUAAUAUGCUUUCAAUAAAAGCCUGUGUUAAGUUUG